rnacentral:rRNA from 1 species
GACGAACGCUGGCGGCGUGCUUAACACAUGCAAGUCGAACGAAGAGCGAUGGAAGCUUGCUUCUAUCAAUCUUAGUGGCGAACGGGUGAGUAACGCGUAAUCAACCUGCCCUUCAGAGGGGGACAACAGUUGGAAACGACUGCUAAUACCGCAUACGAUCUAAUCUCGGCAUCGAGGAUAGAUGAAAGGUGGCCUCUACAUGUAAGCUCUCACUGAAGGAGGGGAUUGCGUCUGAUUAGCUAGUUGGAGGGGUAACGGCCCACCAAGGCGAUGAUCAGUAGCCGGUCUGAGAGGAUGAACGGCCACAUUGGGACUGAGACACGGCCCAGACUCCUACGGGAGGCAGCAGUGGGGAAUCUUCCGCAAUGGACGAAAGUCUGACGGAGCAACGCCGCGUGAGUGAUGACGGCCUUCGGGUUGUAAAGCUCUGUUAAUCGGGACGAAAGGCCUUCUUGCGAACAGUUAGAAGGAUUGACGGUACCGGAAGAGAAAGCCACGGCUAACUACGUG